rnacentral:lncRNA from 13 species
GCAAUAUCUUGUUCAGAACAGUUUCUUUUCUUUCUUUCUUUUUUUUUUUUCAGACAGUCUCACUUUCUUGCCCAGGCUGGAGUGCAGUGGUUCCAUCUCGACUCACUGCAACUUCCGCCUCCCAGGUUCAAGCCAUUCUCCUGCCUCUUGCCUCAGCCUCUGGAGUAGCUGAGAUAACAGAUUAUUUCAAAAAAUUAUGUUUAAGAACAUCAAGAAAAACAUGAG